AUUGAACGCUGGCGGCAUGCCUUACACAUGCAAGUCGAACGGCAGCACGGGAGCAAUCCUGGUGGCGAGUGGCGAACGGGUGAGUAAUGUAUCGGAACGUACCUUUCAGUGGGGGAUAACGUAGCGAAAGUUACGCUAAUACCGCAUAUUCUGUGAGCAGGAAAGCAGGGGUUCGCAAGACCUUGCGCUGAUUGAGCGGCCGAUAUCAGAUUAGCUAGUUGGUGAGGUAAAGGCUCACCAAGGCGACGAUCUGUAGCGGGUCUGAGAGGAUGAUCCGCACACUGGAACUGAGACACGGUCCAGACUCCUACGGGAGGCAGCAGUGGGGAAUUUUGGACAAUGGGCGCAAGCCUGAUCCAGCCAUGCCGCGUGAGUGAAGAAGGCCUCGGUGUAAG
rnacentral:rRNA from 1 species